rnacentral:snoRNA from 12 species
CCGAAACUGAUGAUAACCUGUCACUGAUAGUUGGGCUCAAUCUAUUUUGGAGCGAGUCGUAAACUUUUCCCAGGAUGUUCGCUUUUGCGAGGCAUUUGUCUGAUUCGUUU